ensembl:snRNA U1 U1 spliceosomal RNA
AGACUUACCAGGCAGGGUAGGGUAGAUACCAUGACCACAAGGGUAGUUUUUCCCAGGGCAAGGCUUCUCUAGUCCACUGAAGACUUGCUGAUCCCUGUGAUUUCUCCAAAUGUGGGAAACUCAGCUGCGUAAUUUGUGGUAGUAGCAUACUGCAGUCAUGCUUUUCCCUG